GUCGGAGCGGCGCAAGGGUGCGUAACACGUGGGUAAUCUGCCAUGAAGUUCGGGAUAACUUGCUGAAAGGCGAGCUAAUACCGGAUGUGACAACCGAGAGGCAUCUUUUGGUUGUUAAAGUUGGGGACCGUAAGGCCUGACGCUUCUUGAUGAACCCACGGCCUAUCAGCUAGUUGGUGAGGUAACGGCCCACCAAGGCUAAGACGGGUAGCUGGUCUGAGAGGACGACCAGCCACACUGGAACUGAGACACGGUCCAGACACCUACGGGUGGCAGCAGUCGAGAAUUUUUCACAAUGGGCGCAAGCCUGAUGGAGCGACGCCGCGUGGGGGAUGAAUGGCUUCGGCCCGUAAACCCCUGUCAUUUGCGAUCAAACCUCAUUAUUUAAAAGAUGAUGAGCUGAUAGUAGCGAAAGAGGAAGGGACGGCUAACUCUGUGCCAGCAGCCGCGGUAAUACAGAGGUCCCAAGCGUUGUUCGGAUUCACUGGGCGUAAAGGGUGCGUAGGUGGUGAGGUAAGUCGGAUGUGAAAGCUCGGAGCUCAACUCCGAAAUGGCAUUGGAAACUACCUUGCUCGAGGGUUGGAGGGGGGACUGGAAUACUUGGUGUAGCAGUGAAAUGCGUAGAUAUCAAGUGGAACACCAGUGGCGAAGGCGAGUCCCUGGACAACUCCUGACACUGAGGCACGAAAGCUAGGGGAGCAAACAGGAUUAGAUACCCUGGUAGUCCUAGCCGUAAACGGUGCACGUUUGCUGUAAAAGGAAUCGACCCCUUUUGUGGCGGAGCCAACGCGUUAAACGUGCCGCCUGGGAAGUACGGUCGCAAGAUUAAAACUCAAAGAAAUUGACGGGGGCCUGCACAAGCGGUGGAGUAUGUGGUUCAAUUCGAUGCAACGCGAAGAAC
rnacentral:rRNA from 1 species